GGCCCUAUAGCUCAGUUUGGUUAGAGCACCCGACUCAUAAUCGGUAGGUCCCUGGUUCAAGUCCAGGUGGGGCCACCA
rnacentral:tRNA from 2 species